GGCAUUAAAAUAUUUAUUUUAUUUACAGGAAUGCACCUAAAAUUAUAGAGACGUCUGGAGUUCAUUUUCAGGCAAUGUAUGAGCAUCUGGGAGAGCUGCUCACAGUCUUAAUCACUCUUGAUG
rnacentral:lncRNA from 1 species